rnacentral:rRNA from 1 species
AGAUAGUGACAAUAAAUAACAAUAUAGGGCUCUUAUGGGUCUUAUAAUUGGAAUGAGUACAAUUUAAAUCCCUUAACGAGGAUCAAUUGGAGGGCAAGUCUGGUGCCAGCAGCCGCGGUAAUUCCAGCUCCAAUAGCGUAUAUUAAAGUUGUUGCCGUUAAAAAGCUCGUAGUCGAACUUCGGCCUUUGCCGCCCGGUCCGCCUAUUUGGGUGUGUACUGGAGCGGUGGAGGCUUACCUCGUGGUGAGCAAUCAUCCCCUUUACUGGGAGUGGUUGGGAACCAUGAUUUUUACUUUGAAAAAAUUAGAGUGUUCAAAGCAGGCUUAUGCCCGAAUACAUUAGCAUGGAAUAAUAAAAUAGGACGUGCGGUUCUAUUUUGUUGGUUUCUAGGAUCGCCGUAAUGAUUAAUAGGGAUAGUUGGGGGCAUUCGUAUUCAAUUGCUAGAGGUGAAAUUCUUGGAUUUAUUGAAGACGAACUACUGCGAAAGCAUUUGCCAAGGAUGUUUUCAUUGAUCAAGAACGAAGGUUAGGGGAUCGAAAACGAUCAGAUACCGUUGUAGUCUUAACAGUAAACGAUGCCGACUAGGGAUCGGACGAGGAUUUUUAAUGACUCGUUCGGCACCUGAAGAGAAAUCUUUAAGUCUAGGUUCGGGGGGGAGUAUGGUCGCAAGGCUGAAACUUAAAGGAAUUGACGGAAGGGCACCACCAGGUGUGGAGCCUGCGGCUUAAUUUGACUCAACACNGGGAAACUCACCAGGUCCAGACACGACAAGGAUUGACAGAUUGAUAGCUCUUUCUUGAUUUCGUGGUUGGUGGUGCAUGGCCGUUCUUAGUUGGUGGAGUGAUUUGUCUGGUUAAUUCCGAUAACGAACGAGACCUUAACCUGCUAAAUAGCCCGGCCGGCUUUGGCUGGUC